AAGACUAUAUGUUCAGGGAUCAUUUCUAUAGUGUGUCAGUGGAGAAGGGAGAUUGAAAGUGUGGAGAGGUGAAAACCACAAGGAGUUUGAGUGUUUUCUCUUGAGUGUGAAGCUGGCCUUGUGUGCUGCUGUGAGUAGUAGCUGUUUGCCAUUGAUGACCGUUCCUCCUCUUUGGGGAAGGCUGGAGGGAGAGAACACAAGCUGAGUGGU